AGAACGAACGCUGGCGGCAUGCCUAACACAUGCAAGUCGAACGUGAUCCAGGCUUCGGCCUGGUGAAAGUGGCAGACGGGUGAGUAACGCGUGGGAACCUGCCCUGUGGUAGGGAAUAACCGUGGGAAACUGCGGCUAAUACCCUAUGAGUCCUUCGGGAGAAAGAUUUAUCGCCAUAGGAGGGGCCCGCGUCGGAUUAGGUAGUUGGUGGGGUAACGGCCUACCAAGCCUUCGAUCCGUAGCUGGUCUGAGAGGAUGAUCAGCCACACUGGGACUGAGAUACGGCCCAGACUCCUACGGGAGGCAGCAGUGGGGAAUAUUGGACAAUGGGGGGCAACCCUGAUCCAGCAAUGCCGCGUGGAUGAUGAAGGCCUUCGGGUUGUAAAGUCCGUUUCGGCGGGAAGAUGAUGACGGUACCGCAGAAGAACGCCCGGCUAACUUCGCGCCAGCAGCCGC
rnacentral:rRNA from 1 species